GGGGUGGACACACUGGAGGAUGCUACCGCUGAUGAGUUUCCAUAGCUACAAGGACAUCCGAGCGGAAGAGAGGGGAGGUGCUGAGACAGCGCUCGUGGACUUCCGGUUGAUGAUGAGCAUUAAUGUUAGAAAAACGGUCGUGCCACUCGAGCACAGCCGAAGAGACAGUCUGCAAUCACACCCACUCUCGCCACUGUUACACUGUGUUUGCACACACUGUGACCAAACUGUCCAGCUCUGUCAGCGCCUGCUGCGUUGAAAUGCCUUCCUGGAUGGAAUCUUCAAACGGUGCACAUGAAGCUGAAGAUCAUUUCAACAGAUACUUGAUCUGCAUCAUCAGAACAUAUGUGACCAGGAAACCAUGGCAACCAUCUCAGGUGCUCUGGCAAGCUGGAAACAAGGCCAAAGGAAUGUGUUUCACAAGCCUGCAUUAGUGUUAAAUGGUGUUACCCUUCACAUCAAAGGCAAAUACGUGGAGGAAGAUGCUAAGGUCAUUUUUAAGAUAUAUAGUGCUGAUAAGAGCUGUUUGCUAUAUCAUUCAGCAAAAUAAGUCAAAUUUAUUUGUAAAGUGCAUUUCACAAAUCAUUUCAAAGAAGCUUACAGAAAGUCAUACCAUGCUUUUGAUGAUAUAUAACGAUGAUAAGUGAUCUUCUGCAUUAAUAUCUAGCUAUAUUGCAGCACACCCCACCCCCAUUAUUAA